GCCAUUAUAACCCCAUAACCGUCAUUGAAACCCCAUAACCGUCAUUGGAACCCCAUAAGUAACCGUCACCCCAUAACCAUCACCCCAUCAGGUACCCCAAACCCCAUAACUGACACCCCAUAACCGUCACCCCAUAACUCACUGCACCCCAUAACCAUCAGACACCCCAUAACCGUCAUUGUAACCCCAUAACCGCCAUUAUAACCCCAUAACCGUCAUUGGAACCCCAUAAGUAACCGUCACCCCAUAACCAUCACCCCAUCAGGUACUCCAAACCCCAUAACUGACACCCCAUAACCGUCACCCCAUUACCGUCACCCCAUAACCGCCAUUAUAACCCCAUAACCGUCAUUGGAACCCCAUAACUGUCAUUAUAACCCCAUAACCGCCAUUAUAACCCCAUAACCACCAUUAUAACCCCAUAACCGCCAUUAUAACCCCAUAACCGCCAUUAUAACCCCAUAACCGCCAUUAUAACCCCAUAACCGCCAUUGUAACCCCAUAACUGCCAUUAUAACCCCAUAACCGUCAUUGGAACCCCAUAAGUAACCGUCACCCCAUAACCAUCACCCCAUCAGGUACCCCAAACCCCAUAACUGACACCCCAUAACCGUCACCCCAUUACCGUCACCCCAUAACCGCCAUUAUAACCCCAUAACCGCCAUUAUAACCCCAUAACCGCCAUUGGAACCCCAUAAGUAACCGUCACCCCAUCAGGUACCCCAAACCCCAUAACUGACACCCCAUAACCGUCACCCCAUAACCGUCACCCCAUAACCGUCAUUAUAACCCCAUAACUGCCAUUAUAACCCCAUAACCGCCAUUAUAACCCCAUAACCGCCAUUGGAACCCCAUAACCGUCACCCCAUAACCGUCACCCCAUUGUCCCCCCCCACCCCAUAACUGCCCCCCAUACCCCACUGUGACCCCAUAACUGCGCCCCAUAUCCCACUGUGACCCCAAAACCCCACUGUGCCCCAUUGUGACCCCAUAACUCCACCCCAUACCCCAUUGUGACCCCAUAACUGACCCCAUAGUGACCCCAUAACUCCACCCCAUAUCCCAUUGUAACCCCAUAACUGCACCCCAUACCCCACUGUGACCCCAUAACUGACCCCAUUGUGCCCCCAUACCCCAUUGUGACCCCAUAACUCCGCCCCAUACCCCACUGUGACCCCAUAACUCCGCCUUAUACCCCAUUGUGACCCCAUAACUCCACCCCAUAUCCCACUGUGACCCCAUAACCGACCCCAUAUUGACCCCAUACCCCAUUGUGACCCCAUAACUGUGCCCCAUAUCCCACUGUGACCCCAUAACUGUGCUCCAUAUCCAAUUGUGACCCCAUAACUCCACCCCAUACCCCAUUGUGACCCCAUAUCCCGUUGUCACCCCAUAACUGUG
ensembl:lncRNA